rnacentral:misc_RNA from 1 species
AAAGAGAUGAGAAUUAGCAUUUUGGCUCUGCUGGCUUUGUUCCUCCUUGAGGCGGUGUUAGCCAAUGAAGUAUUUGAUGUCCCCAUGAAUGAAACGAUUGGGGUUGAAAGUAUAAAUGCAUCUGUAGGGGGAUACCCACGAUGCGGAGCGCAAGGUGAUGGCGGAAACUGUCCUAGUGGAAUGUGUUGUAGUGUAUGGGGUUGGUGUGGAAAGACAUAUGGGUAUUGUGCUCCUCAAAACUGUCAGAAACAAUGUCCAGCCCCGUACCCAGAGGGACGUUGCGGCUGGCAAGCUGAUGGUAAAUCAUGUCCUAAUGGAAAGUGUUGUAGUUAUGGUGGUUGGUGUGGGACCACAUCAGAUUAUUGUGCUCGUCAAAACUGUCAAAAACAAUGUAUAUUACCGUCACCUCCUCCUCCACCACCACCUCCACCCGGAUUUCCACGACCAGAAUGUGGACUGCAAAAGAAUGGUGAGAGAUGUACUAAACCCGGAGAGUGUUGUAGUAUAUGGGGUUUGUGUGGAGCCACAUACAAGUAUUGUGAUCCUCAACAUUGUCAGAAACAAUGUUCAGCUCCAUUCCCACCAGGACGGUGCGGAUGGCAAGCUGAUGGUAGACCAUGUCCUACUGGACAAUGUUGUAGUUUCUCUGGUUGGUGUGGGACCACAUCAGCUCAUUGCACUUACCCACAAUGUGUGAGCCAAUGCAACGAUCCUCGUUUCCCCUCAUCCCUCAACAAUCGUAUUCAAAGUUUCAUGCUCUAGAGGAUCCUCUUUUGGAACUCGACAAGUGUGUGUAAUAAUAAUGCAUGAAGAACAUAAUAAUAGUAAAUAAAGACCUUUUGUCUACAACCAUAUUUUAAUUACAACAACUAUUUAGAUUUCAUGUUUGGCGUCGUUCCUGUAUUCCCAAAUACUGCAAGAGGAUGUACAUGCUAGUCGGACCUUUGUUAUAUAUAGGAAUCUUCAAAGUUAAGCAAAAAUAAAUAAAAUUAAAAACUAAUAUAUUGAACGAUGGAGCACCCACCAUCAAAGACUUGUGUUAUAUAUAGUCCUGAUUGAGUUGAAAAAAACAAAUCUUACA